rnacentral:rRNA from 1 species
AUGAGGAGACUUUUGAGGGGUUCAUCGUGCCAAAGCUCAAAGGAUAAACAAAAUGAAGAAGCUCAGAGGCCCAAAUAUAAUUUGCCUCGUACCGCGGAGAUUCGGCCGUGUGAAUGGCCUUCUGAUAAUUUCUUGAGAGAGGCCGGGAUUUAUGAGGAUUUCUAUUCAUUGAUUAAGAAUGCUGGCCUCACCGACUUCGUCCGCGACCAACGUCCACAGUAUCUCUUACUCACAAAUACUUUUGUGCAAAACUUCUACUUUUUCCCUAAAGAGUCACCUCCUUCAGUAGAGUUUCAUUUAUAUGAUGUUGUGAAGAAAAUGCCAUUGUCUGAAUUUUGCGCAGUCUGCAACAUACCUCCUGAUGGUAUCUUAGAGGAACCACCUCGUAAAGAGUUGGAACCAUUUAUUAACCUUAUCUCUAUGGGAGAAACCAGGAAGGUUUCUGAUGCAAGAAUCACUAGCAUACAUUUUCCCGUGUUACUCUAUUUUGCUUUAUUUGCUAGUCGAUGCUUGAUUGGUCGUGGGAACUGUGGGAACCUUAGUGUUCCUGAUAUUAUUAUUCUGUUCCAUGAUUUAUACCGCGACACCACUGUCAGUAUGGGCGGAAUUAUUGCUAGGCAGUUGAGUCUGAACCAUACUAAAGGCUGCAUCUUUGGAGACAUUUAUGCUUCUCGCCUUGCUGCACACUUUAACAUAGCUAUGAGGCGUUAUGACAAAGAAAAAAAUUGGUGCCUAAUGCUUAUCUAG